GAAAAGACAUUAGUUCAGUUGAUCUUAAUACAAGUGUCUGCCUUUGUUCAGGUGAGCAUUCAGUAAAACAGAGGAUUAUAGUAAUUUUCACAAGAUAUUUAAAAUUUCUUGAUUUGGUUUUGUUGGUUGAUUGGAGUGAGUUUGAAUAUAAUUUGAAUUAGUUUUCUUUGUUUUUUAAUAAAAAUUGAAUUACACAAAAAAUAAUAAUAAAAAUAAAAAAUGAAUUAGUUAUGUUUGUAAUUUUGCAAAUGCAUCAAGUUGUGUUUAGUCUUUUGUGGAUGCAACACAGCUUAACUUUAGAUAAGUUCAAUUCCAAAGUGUUCUUUUAAAGUUUCUUACUUACAUCUCUGUUUUGUGCCAAAUCAAAUGGGUUACAAUUUUUUUCUUUUCUUUUACAAUUUACCCUUUUGUAUUGCUAAUGACAUUAAACAUAGUGAGCAUGCAGCCCUGACGUUCAUCUUUGGAGCAGCCAAGAAGAGUGCAGAACACUUUAUUCAAUCAGACGAGAAUGGGGUAUGAGAUUAGAGAAGCCAUUGUUACUCAAGUAAUCUUUCCGAAGAUUUUUAUUCUGGUGAGAGGUUUGCAUUAUUAUAGUGAAUGAAGGCACUGAAUCAAGAAAGGCAACAGAAUAUUGCCGCGUAGCAGAAGUUUCAAUAAGGCCAUGUUUGUUGACUGUGAGCAAGUUGAACAUCAAGGAUAGAGAUCGCCUCGGAGUCACCCCGUAGUCAGCCUUUUGUGGAGCUCCCGUGAAUGGGCCAACUUGGUCUCGCAAAGAGUCAAGCGAAGUCUAAACCCCUUUUUAUUUUGAACCUUGGUUAAAUUUUGGUAAUAGGGGUUUUAAUUUGUACAUGUUGAUAAGUUUGGAUUGUGGCUGAACUUCUUCUUUUGAAUAUUUAUGUAUAUAAAUAUAUGCACUUCUCUUUGGAAUUGAUGUAUAGUGUUAAUGUGAACUCUUCAUUU